UUGGUAAAGGGGAGAGAAAAUAUUCUGAAAGAUAUUACAUUGAGGCUAAGAUUGGAAUGAUGAUGAGAGGAAUAGAGGUGAUGAAAAUAUGAAGUGCUGAGGUUAUGUAUUUAUAUCAUCAGGGGUUUUGGGUCUACCGCCCAUCACACAAUGCCCCUUGAGGUAUGGAUUGGGAAUCAUUUGGGAUACGCAAGAGUACUGCUACCAGAAUGAACUCCUGGACACCAUAGCUGACUUUGAUGCAUUCAUGCAUCAGUCCAUAUUUAUUUUUUAUUAAUAUCUAAUCUGUAUAGAAUGUCGUGCAUAUUUGCGGUUAUACAUUUUGAAUAAAUUCAACUACAUAAAUUUUGCAACUUAUAAUGAGAAAAACUCAUUAACACUUAGAUCAACGAGCCUCAUCACGCAAAGAAGGCAAAUACUGAGGGCCACUUUUUCAUAUACACGUACAUGUAACAUGCAUAUAUGCAUCAUCUAGCCUAUUAAUUCUGUCCAUUAAUUAUCAUCAGAGUAUUCCAAAUGAUUAUGGAAGCUGGCUAAUAGGUCACAUAAAAAUUGGUAUUUAUCCUUUACUGUAUAUAUCGAAUGAUGCACACAUGAAUCAUAUGUAAAUGCAUCAAAUGAUCCACACGUAUGCUCAUGAUGUCACAGAGAUGAACUAUGGGCCUAUGGCAAGCUAGUGACCUCCCCUUCCCUUCACAUGUUGCCAAAUUCCACACUUGUCACAACCCGAUUUGCCCGGAAAUAAUCUGCCCCACACUUUCAGAAGCGUGUGGGGGUUUUCAUGGAAUUCAUGCAUAAAAAAUAUUGAGUUGCCGUAAUCUAUUUUGAGGGAUAAAAAGGGUAGGCAUGGGAUUUGAGUAGAGGUGUUUGUUGAGUUCCUACGUGGUAAUCUCCCUUCCUUAAUGAAUAUAAGACUUUAGAGCACUUCACAUGCUGAUGGAAUUUGAACCUUUUCACAAGAUGGCAUUGUCUCGUGAUUCCCAAAAUUAACAAGCAAUCCAACUGAGAAAAACUUGAGCUUUAAGCUUGUAAUAUGGUGUCGCCACGUGUAUACCCCGUGACAAAUCAUAGAUCACGUGCUGCCAACCAUUUGCCAGUUCGUUGAUACAUUAUAGUAGAGAGGCGUGGUUUGAAAAAUGGGGGUUGGAUUACACAUGCAAGGUGGUAUGGGCUGAAGAAUAUGAGUUCAUUAGAUAACAGCUUAUCAUGUAUUUUGACAACCCAGUUUGAAAAAGGCCAUCAAUCAUCAUCAAUCAUUAUGGACUCAUGUCUCAUUUUUUAAUGGGUAAUACGUUAGCUAAGAUUAUUAAAUGGGAAGUUGUAAAGAAGUUUGAGCCAACUAACUGUCUGGAAAGUUGCUUUCAAUGGAAGGUACACAUGAACUUAUACCAAAUUCCGUCGAAUGGAAGAGUUGAAACUUGAAUCAAUGGGUGUAAUAUUAUUAAUCAGAUCAUUUUCUUCAAACCAAGCAAUAAAUUCGGCCAAGCACAUGAGCCUAACCGUUGCCAAUUUCAACACUGCAAGUUAAUUUGUGACUACUCCAUUUCAGCUCUUUCCUUCUUUUUGCCUUUUUCUUUAUUUUGUUCACUUUGGUGUAAAACGCAUUUUUUAUUUUAUUUUAUUCAUUUGGGUGUGAAGCUGAGAAAAAAUAGAGUAAGAUGAUGGAGUUGCGUGCUUGAAACGAUUAUAAUAUAAUAUUAUUGUUUAAGAUUACGUAUGACUCUCGAAAAGUAUUAAGAGAAGAAUAAAAUUAUUAAAAAAAAUAAUUUACAUAUUUAGUUAUCUUAUAAAAAAAAUCAAAUAUAACUAAAACUAAUUAAAAAAUCAUAUAUUUUAAAAUUAUUUAAUUUUUAUAUAAAAAAAUUAAAAUAAAUUUAAAAUAAUUUAUUAACCAUAAAUAUAUUUUUUAUUUUCUUUUACUUUUUAUCUUUUUUUUUUCACUUACUUUUUUUCUCAAACCACACAUAACCUCAAACUCUAUUGACUUGUGUCAAUGGAAAAUGGAAAGGCACUUAAUGAACAAAUUCAUUGGAGAAGAGGGUGUCAUCAUGUUGUUGUUUAGGUUUCUUCAAAAUGGAGAAAAUUUUCUAUAAAUUCUGUUGCAAACUUAGGGGAAUUAAUGCAGGUCUAAAAAGGCGGCCAAACCCACAUUUACCUAUUUAUAUUGUGGAUAAAUUUUACUGAUCAUCUCCUUUAAUGUUUCAAUUAGAUACACUUAACCGUUAUGAAUUUGAAAUUUUUUUAAAUACUUCUCUUAUAGUAAAACAAAAUUUUAUAAUUUUUAAUUUUCAAUUUUAAAAUUAACACAUCGACCAAAGUGUUAUUGUUCAAAUUUAACAAUUCUAACUUUCAUUAAAUUUUAACUUUUUAAAUAAUAUCCAAAAAAUAAAGUUUAAAUCAAAAUCCUAAUAAUAUUAAAAUCUCAUCUUAACCAUCACUUCUCGUCAAAAUUGAAAAUACCUGAAAAAUUGUCGAUGAAGACGAAUGAGUUCAAAGUCUAAUAAAGAAUAUUAUUACAAUUUUAUUGAUUAAAUAUUUUCAAUUAUGAUUUCAAAUACGAGAUAAAAUGUAUAAUUUUUUUCAUAAAAACUUUUGCGUCCAAACAUGCUAAUACAUUCAAAAAAUUUCAACCAAACACUUUUAUAUCUAUAUUAAAACAAUUUCUUAUCAAAUACAUUCAAAAUCCUUUUACUUUGGUUAUCGAAUAAUAAAUGGUCUCUAAUGACUUAGGACUUUACAAAUAGAUGACUAACCUCAAAUUGGUUCAUUUUAAGGUGGACAAAACUAAAUGUUACUAGUACUAGUAACAUCUAACCAAACCCUUAUAGGUUGGGGUCUAAAUCAGUUAUAUUUCCCACCACUAAAUGUGAAGAUCAACUAUUAUUUUCUGCUUACUAGAGUUGAAAGUCAACUAUUAUAUAUUGUUGACUAAGGAUGAAAAAUUAAUUAUUACAUCUCAUUAACAAACUAGAGUCAAAUAUUUUGUUUGAUUUAUUCAAACUUACAAAAACAAAAUAUCUUCAUAUUUUUAAGAAAAAAGUUCUAACAUAUUUUUCAUAUAAAAUAUAUUUAAUCCAUAUAUGUAUAGAAACAAAAAUAACAUUUUACACAUUUUAAAAUAACAUAUAAAAGAAAUUUUAUUUUAUUUUAUAAAAUUUGCAUUAAUUUUCUUUAUUUGGCCAAGCACUUCAAAUCUUGAAAAAAAUUAAUCCUGAACAAUCAACUCUUCACCUAACAUAAUAUAAAAAAAUGAUUAUUCCUAUUAACUAUUUAUCUAAAACCAUAACUUUAACAAUUCUAAAAAUUUCUUAUAUUGAUAUUAUUAUCACCUAUAUUAUUUUUAACUCCCUAAUUAAUGACAAUUUAAUAAGUAAGUCCCCAAAUUUUCAUAAAAAUUUUGUCUUUUCCAAAAAUCUAAUCUCAAAAGUAUUUUUCUUUUUCCCUUAUUUAUUCAAACUAAAUCUCUUAAGCAUAUGUAUUUAUGAUAAACUCUUUUAUCAUUUUAAUCAAGAAUGGUUUUUUAUAUUAUUAUUAUUAGGUUUUUUUUUUUGUUCAUUACUUGUCUUCAAUAUUCUAUUGCUUUUUGUCUAUUAUUAUUAUUUUCGACAAACAAUACACAAAUCAUGCAAUCAACCUCAAUUUUUUUUUUCCUUCUCUAUACACAGCACCAUCAUAGUACCACAAAUAGGUUUCCUAAACACCACCUCUAUUUCUUCUCUUUUAUUAUUAUUAAUAUUAUUUUUUUCUCUUCACAAAGUCAACAUCCCGACAUUUCCUUGCUUUUUUUUCCAAUCCCAUUUAGUCGUUACACCCUCCGACCAUUCUUUUUUUCUUCUUUUCUUUUCUUUACACCACACACACCACCACGUCCAUUAUUUUUAUUAUUAUAAUUUUUCUUUUCUUUUUACUCAUCACAAAGUCAUGCCCUCACUCUCAUCCUUCUUCCCUUUCCAUUUUUAGUUUGAUUUCUUUUUAUUUUUUUUCCAUAUUCUACAAUUCGUCGCCUAACACAUUUUCAUUUUUUUUCCAAAGUCAAGCAUUUUUUUCAUAGCUAUACAAUUUUCCUAUAAUUUUUCCUUUCUAUUUAUUUAUUUAUUUUGAUUUUUACAUGUUUAGAUCUAAUCAUUUCAAUUUUUGAAUUUUCUCUAUUUUUAUCAUUAAAUCAAUUUAUAUUCAUAAAUUUUCAAUCAUUUUUGUGAAACCAAGGUUUGGUUAAUCUCGGUUUUGAUGAUAACUGUUAUAAACAAUUAGGCUAAUCCAAUAUAUGGUAAUCACCCUAGAGGGGGGGUGAAUAGGGUGAUGGUCUCUUUUUGCAAAUUUAAACUAUGUGAAUGUAAGAAACAAUUAUAUGCAAGUAUAUAAUAAGCAAUAUAAAUACAAUUGCAUAUAAAUUAAAAGAGUAGGGAAUAGAGAAUGCAAAUACAAGAUUUUAUAGUGGUUCGGCGCAACCCGACCUACAUCCACUCUCCUCUAGCUUCAAUCCUAAGCUUAAGGUUCCACUAAUUCAAGGCUUCCAAACCAAGCCUUCAAGUAAUACAAUUGGAUUAUGGUUCCAAUUCACCCUCUUGGACUUUUGGCUCCAAGCACCCUUUACACUUCUCAAGAGAUAUCCCACUCUUGAGAAACUUCAUCUCAAAGAUUUACAAAUAAAUGAUCUCACAAAAUCCUAGUACAAAAACUUUAAGCUCAAAUAAUAUAAGAAUAUUAGGAUUGAAAGGUGCACUAAAGAUAUACAAGUUUUAGAACAAUGGUGCGCUCAAAAAACACCUUUUCAAGGCUCAAAUAUAUUCAAGAAAUGUUUGGGAAGGUUAAGUUUUUUAAACAAUGAAGAUUGAAGCCUUUUUAUAGAAGAGAAAAACCAAACUAGCCGUUUGGGGGUUCGAUCGGUCGAGUUAGGGGUCGACCGGUUGACUAGUCGUUAGCAUUUAAUGUUUGGCAAGUGACCGUUGGGCCUCAACCGGACCUCGAUCGGGAAGAGAAUCACCUCGAUCGGGAAGAGAAACCCACUGGGAGAGAGAGAAACUUUUUGACAUCCCUCAACCGGUCCUUGACCUGACGAGCACAACCGGUCGACUGGUUCCUCAACAGGUUGAGCCAUUUUUUGGCUCAACAACCAACUUUUUCAACUUAAAACCUUUUAAAACAAGUUUGAAAAAUAUUUAACACAAGGUUUUAGUUGAAAAACAUGAAAUCAUCUAAUUCUUAAAAUAUUUAAAACAAAAUAACUCUUGGAUGAUUUUGGUGCAUAAGUAAAGAAUGUAAUGCAUGAAAAUCCUAGUGCACCAACAACUUUACAAAGAGAUCUUAUGAAGCUUAGGUCUUGAAAAACACUUCUCUUUGAAGUGGUCUUCUUCUUCAUGAUUUCUCCUUAACUUGAUUUGCUUUAUGAUUGUCACUUUGGAAAUCGUCUUGCCUAAUCACACUUGAAAUAUAAUCAUUAGUUCUAAACUUUGUUUUGUUAUCAUCAAAAUCAAGAUUAACCAAAUCUUGGUUUCACAAUAACAAAACAAGGUUUACAACUAAUGAUUAUAUUUCAAGUGUGAUUAGGCAAAACGGUUUCCAAAAUGGCAAUCACAAAGACAAAUCAAAUCAAGGAGAAAUCAUAAAGAAGAAUGCCACUUUAAAGAGAAGUGUUUUUCAAGAUCUAAGUUUCAUAAGAUCUCUUUGUAAGGUUGUUGGUGUACUAAGAUUUUCAUGCAUUACAUUCUUUACUUAUGCACCAAAAUCAUUCAAAAGUUAUUUUGUUUUAAAUAUUUUAAAAUUGGAUGAUUUCAUGUUUUCAAUUAAAACUUUGUGUCAAAUGUUUUUCAAAUUUGUUUAAAAUGUUUUAAGUUGAAAAAGUUGGUUGUUGAGCCAAAAACGAUUCAACCAGUUGAACCGGAUGAGGAGUCGGUCGACCGCCAGCUUAACCGGUCUAGGAGUUGGUUGACCCCCAGUUCAACCGGUCAAGGGUAUGAAUAAUAACCAGUCAACGGCCAGCUCAACCAAUUGAGGGAUACAAAAAACCUUAUCUCUCUUCCAGAAUGGUUGUUCAACCAGAUGAGGAACUGGUCAGCCCACACCUCAACCGGUCAAGGUACGAUCGAGGUCCAAUGGUCACCUGCCAAGCAUUAAAUGCUAACGACUAGUCAACCGGUCGAUCCCUAACUCAACCGAUCGAACCCCCAAUGGCUAGUUUGGUUUUUUUUCCUCUAUAAAAAAACUUCAAAUCUUCAUUGUUUAAGAACUCAACCUUCUCAAACCUUUCUUGAAUAUAUUUGAGUCUUGGAAGAGUGUUUUGAGUGCAUCAUUGUUCUAAAACUUGCAUAUCAUUAGUGUACUUUUCAAUCCUAAUUUUCUUGUAUCAUUUGAGCUUAAAGUUUUUGUAUUAGGAUUUUGUGAGAUCAUUUAUUUAUAAAUCUUUGAGAUGAAGUUUCUCAAGUGUAAGGUAUCACUUGAGAGGUUGUUCAAGAGUAAGAUAUCUCUUGAGAAUUGUAAAUGGUGCUUGGAGCCAAAAGUCCAAGAGGGUGGACUAGAACUAUAAUCCAAUUGUAUUGUUUGAAGGUUUGGUUUGGAAGCCUUGAAUAAGUGGAACCUAAAGCUUGGGAUUGAAGUUAGAAGAAAGUAGAUGUAGGUCGGGUUGCGCCGAACCAUUAUAAAAUCUUAUAUUUGCAUUCUCUCUUCCUUACUCUUUUACUUUAUAUGCAAUUGUCUUUAUAUUGUUUUAUUAUAUAUUUGCAUAUAUUUGUCUCUUACAUUCACAUAGUUUAAAUUUAUAAAAAGAGACCAUCACCCUAUUCACUCCCUCCCCUCUUCCCCUCUAGGGUGAUUACCAUAAGUUAGAUUAGCCUAAUUUUUCUAACAAUUUUUAUCUAAAAAGUAAACAAAUAAACUUUAAUUUAGAUUUAGAUUUUUCAAAGAACAACAAAAGUGUUCAAACCUAAUUAAUAAAUCAAAAAUAUUAAUAUAAGGGUUAGAAUCUUAUCUAGAAAACUAAUAUUUAAAUCAUAAACCUUCAAAUCUUUAGUUCUAUAUUAUCCUAUGUUCUCUAAUAUUUGUAAUCAUCAUAUAAAAUGGUUUUUUAAAUAAAGAAUACAAGAAAAAUCUAAUUUAUAUGUAGAGUUUUUAAAUGGAAAAAGACUUUUCUAUCUUUAUUAAAUUUAUUAAAUUUAUUUUUUAUCUUUCUUUCAUUCUAAUUUAACAAUAUAUUUGGGGCAUUACAAUCCCUUGGCAUGGAAACUUAUCGCUGCAAUAAAGCUUUAUGGCCUCAUUUGAAGAAUUUGUUCUUUUAAUGUUCGAGUACAACACAUUUUGCACUUGAACCGCCCAGCUCUACACCAUUUGUAUUAGGGAAAUCAUGAACAAUUAAUUGAAGGUUAAUGAUAUUGGUUUUGUUUGUCAAGAUAUGGGUUGAACUUUUGAGUUUCCAUACCUUUGAUUUGUGUUCAAUUAGUUUCCAUAGUUUUGUGAUGACAACAAUAUUUAUAUGGGCCAAUUUCAUGUUGCAUGCAUUUUUAAAAUAAAUAAAUAAAUAAAUAUGUAUAUAUAUAUAUAUAUAUAUACAUAUUUAUUUAUUUAUUUAUUUAUUUUUAUUUUUUUAUUAUUUUGUGGAAAUACCAUAUAGCAUGGUAUUGAAUCAAGGGAGAAAAACUCUGAAGAAAAAAAUUAAUUUUCAGAAAAAUGAAAAGAAUUAGUAAAUACUAAGAUGAAAAUUAACAACAAAUAAAUGGUCAUUUUAUUGAUGAUAAACAAUAAGAGAACAUCAACUCCAUUGUAUUGACAGAUAGUAUUGUGUGUUGGGCUACAUUCCAAUACUAAGUGGUCUUAUUCUAUCAUAAACAAAUUAAUAUCACAUACUCGCUGUUACUUUUCAAUAAUGAGUAUAUAUGUAUAAACACCAAUAAGUGUGUGAUCAGAACCAAUAACCCUAGCUUCCAUGCAAUUCUCAAGUGCAACUUGGAGACACAUCUCCUUUUUCAGUCACUUUGGCAUUGUUGCACACAGCUUUGGUUGCUCUUCCUCCUCCAAUUUCUAUAUCAAUGUCUUGCAGCACAACCCCCUGACAUGGAAACUUGUCGCUACAAUCAAGUUGUAUAGCCUCAUUUGAAGAACUUGUUCCUUUGAUGUUCUGGUACAACACAUUUUGCACUUGAACCGCCCGGCUCUGCAACAAAACCAAGUAGCGCUCCAUCAUUUGUAUUAGGGAAAUCAUGAACAAUUAAUUGAGGGUUGAUGAUAUUGGUUUUGUUUGUGAAGAUCCAGGGUUGAGGUUCGCGUUUCCAUACCUGUGAUUUGCAUGGUUUGUCCUGGUCACAGUACUUUUGGUCUAUUAUUAUAGGGUUUUUCACAUUAUGCAUUUCAAUGUUCUGGAAUUUGAUGUUGCUUGCGCUUCCAGACCCUCCCUGCAACAAAAUUCUUGUGUUAAUAUUUGACUGAUCGAAAACUUGAGUUAUUAAGUAAUGAAUGUAAUAAGUCAAUAACGCAUAUUAAAUUAACUUAUACUAAAGCUUCUUCAUAAUAUCCGACUCAUACAAACAUAUGUAUGCAUGUUUCUUCUUACCUGCCAUGUCUUGAUUCUAACUCCAUUUGUGGUUCCCGAAAGGGUUGCCCCGUUCACUGUAAUAUCUGAAACGUGAGCCUCUGAGUUUCCAGAUCCUAAGCUUCCAAUACUGAGGAGUUGGCCAUGGAACAAAGACAAAAUUCAAAAGAAAUACGUAUAUGUUAGUGUUGAUUAAUGAGUCAUAUAUAGAAAUUAAGAUUAAUUUAGCAAUAUUAAUGUUGGGGUUACUGGGUUAAUUACCUGAUUCCAUGGCCUGGUCCACAGGUGAUACCAGUGGCUUGCAAGUUCUGGGUUCCACUCACAAUUGAAAUACAGUCGUCACCUUCAACAAUCAAACAAUCAAACAAAAUUUGUCAUUGAUUCAGCAUGGCUACAACUAUUUAAAAAAAUAUAUAUUUUUAGUUUUGUUUUUAGGCAAAUUUUGAGGAUACCUGUUCCUAAAACUGAGCUUGAAAUCUGGAUAUUUUGGGUGUCAGUCACAUGGAUUCCAUCAGUGUUGGGGCUGUCCCCUGGUGCAGUUACAGUGAGACCCGAAGCUUGAACACCCACGCAUUUUUCAAAAGAAACAUGCAUUUGCUGGGCAUUUUGGAUCUUGAGGUUCUUCACUACCAAGUUCUUGCAGUUGUAGAAGGUUAAGGCCUGCCAAAACAUAAUUCCAAACAAGAAAUUAUAUGUCUUCCAUUUUCAUAUAAACAUCAUAGAAAAAGUUUGCACUCAUAUGAGAGGAUGUAUAUCGACGUACCGUUGGUGCAUCCUUGCAAGACUGCGGGAAUUUAAAGGGAAAAAAAAAAAAAAAUCAGCCAAUGGUCAUUAAAAGAUAAUCAAAAGAAAAGAGAGAGAGAGAGAGAGAGUUAUGAGUGGCAUAAUUACAAGAUCAUCGUUCACUUUGCAAGAGUUCUCCCACCAUGUCUUCCCAUUUCCAUUGAUGGUUCCACCACCUUGAACCGCUAAGUUUUGGACAUUUUCAAAGACAAGCCACCGGGUCAUAUCGUUACUGUAGGCGGAUCGAUCAGCAGAUGCCUGGACAGUUCCAUAUAUCUGGUUUUUUUUUUUUUUUUCAAAAAAUAUCAUUAGUCAUUUUAUGCUAUAUACAUCAAUGAGAAACAGCUCCUUGAAGGUCUGAAGAAAAUGACUCCUGUGAUGGAAUCUCACCUGCACUGUAAUACUGGAUUUGCAAGGACCUUGAAAUGUAAUUGGCUUAAGGAGAUAGUUCUUGGUUUGGGGCACCACUAGGACAGAUCCUUGAGAUGAACAAGCUGCCUCCCAAGCUUUCUUGAAUGCCUGAAAGACCCAACAUUGGUUAUAUAUAUAUAUAUAUAUUACUUCGCAUGACAGAACCAAUGAAGGUAAGAUUGAAUCUAACAAGCCCUAAUAAUUUCAAUAUGUUUGAUUCAUAGCAUAGUUUGUCUUCAUUGGAUGUGAAGUACUUCAAUAGUAAUUAGCCAUCAUUUUCAUUUAGAUCAAUGAUAUAAAUAGUAAUUACCUAAUCCGCUUCUAGUAUACAAUGACAUGCUAUAAUUUUAAUCCUUUUGAUAAUGUAUGGAUUCUAAACUUAUUGUGAUCAAUAUAUCAAAAUGCAAGCUCAGAUCAAACUAUAUAGAACAAUGAUGCAAAGGUCAUGCAAAUGAGGAUAUUCUUAUAAGGUUAAUAAGUCAAUACACAUAUUGACGUCUCCAGCUAUAUGCAUACCUCUGUGGCAUCACUUCCAUCACCUUUAGCUCCAUAAUCAUUCACGCUAACCGUUUUAACUGAAGCCAAAGAUCUACCCACUUUACCAAUCCUCUUAGAGCCCAUGAUUUUACUUCCAAAUUUGCGCCAUGGCCACUUCUCAUACGCCCGGGAAGAAUCAUAGCCAUAUGCGUCGUCAAGAUAAUCGUAAGGUGGGUUCCCUUGCAAACCGUAGUAGCAUGGGAAAGAAAGCAGAAAGACGAUGAGAAAUGGGAUGAAGCGUCUUUUUAGAGACAUUGUUUCUUCUUUGAUGAAGGGGAGAGAAAAUAUUCUGAAGAUAUUGAAGCUAAGAUUGGAAUGGUGAUGAGAGGAAUGAGGCGAUGAAAAUAUGAAGUACCGAGGUUAUGUAUUUAUAGAGAAUCAUCAGGGGUUUUGGGUCCACUGUCCAUCACACGAUGCCCCUUGAGGUAUGGAUUUGCAAUCAUUUGGGAUACGCAAAGAGUACUGCUACCAGAAGGAACUCCUGGACACCAUGGCUGACUUUGGUGCAUACAUGCAUCAGUCCAUACUAUUCAUUGAUAUCUUAUCUAUAUACCAUGCCGUGCAUAUUUGCAGUUAUACAUUUUGAAUAAAUUCAACUACAUAAAUUUUGAAACUUAUGAGGAGAAAAACUCAUUAACACUUAGAUCGACGAGCCUCAUCAUGCAAAGAAGGCAAAUAUUGAGGGCCACUUUUUUAUAUACAUGUACAUGUAACAUGCAUAUAUGCAUCAUCUAGCCUAUUUUGUCCAUUAAUUAUCAUCAGAUUAUUCCAAAUGAUUAUCCUAGAUUAUGGCAGCUGGCUAAUAGGUCACAUAAAAAUGGGCAUUUACCCAUUACUAUAUAUAUUGAACGAUGCACACAUGAAACAUAUGUAAAUGCAUCAAAUGAUCCAUACGUAUGCUCAUGAUGUCACAGAGAUGAACUAUGGCAAGCUAGUGACCUCCCCUUCCCUUCACAUGCUGCCAAAUUCCACACUUGUCACAACCCGAUUUGCACGGAAAUAAUCUGCCACACACUUUCAGAAGCGUGUGGGGGUUUCUAUGGAAUUCAUGCAUAAAAAAUAUUGAGUUGCCGUAAUCUAUUUUGAGGGAUAAAAAGGGUAGGCAUGGGGUUUGAGUAGAGGUGUAAAUUUGUUAAGUUUCUAAGUGGUCGUCUCCCUUAAUGAAUAUAAGACUUUAGAGCACUUCAGUUCACAUGCUGAUGGAAUUUGAACCUUUUCACAAGAUGGCAUUGUCUCAUGAUUCUCAAAAUUAACAAGCAAUCAAACUGAGAAAAACUUGAGCUUUAGGCUUGUCAUAGGGUGUCGCCACGUGUACUAACCCAUGACAAAUGAUAAAUCAACACGUGCUUCCCACAAUUUGCAAGUUCCUUGACACAUAAUAGUAGAGAGGCGUGGUUUGAAAAAUGGGGUUUGGAUUACACAAGGUGGUAUGGGCUGAAGAAUAUGAGUUCAUUAGAUAACAGCUUAUCAUGUAUUUUGACAUGAUAAGCUUUUUUUAAUCAUUAUGGGCUCAUGUAUCAUUUUUUAAUGGGUAAUGCGUUAGCUAAGAUUAUGAAAUGGGAAGUUGACCUCAUAGAAGGGUUAGCGCAGUUGUAAAGAAGUUUGAGCCAACUGUUUGGAAAGUUGCUUUCAAUGGAAGGUAUACAGGAACUUAUACCAAAUUCCAUCAAAUGGCUGAUUCAGAAUGGAAGAGUUGAAACUUUAGUCAAUGGGUGUAAUAUUAUUAAUCAGAUCAUUUUCUUCAAACGAAGCAAAAAAUUCGGCCAAGCACAUGAGCCUAACAGUUGCCAAUUUCAACACUGCAAGUUAAUUUGUGACCACUGCAUUUCAGCUUUUUCCUUCUUUUGGCUUUCUUCUUUAUUUUGUUCACUUUGGUGUAAAAAGCAUUUUUUUUUUAUUCAUUUUGGUGUGAAGCUGGGAAAAAAUAGAGUAAGAUGAUGGAGUUUUUGCCAUGUGCUUGAAACAAUCAUAAUAUAAUAUUAUUGUCUAACGAUUCUUGAAAAGUAUAAGGAAAUAAUAAAAUUAUUAAGAAAAAUGAUUUUUACAAAAAUUAUAAAAAAAAAUUUAAAUAUAAUUAAAAUUCAUUAAAAAUUUAUAUAUCUUUAAAUUACUUAAUUUUUAUAUAAAGGAAUUAAAAGAAGUAAAAUAAUUUAAAAUAAUAAAUAAAAAUAAUUUAUUGACUAUAAAUACAUUUUUUAUUUUUCUCCCUUUUUUGUUUUCUUUUAUUUUUUGUCUUUAUUUUUUUUUCACUUACAUUUUUUCUCAAACCACACAUAACCUCAAACCCUAUUCACUUGUGUCAUCAUGUUGUUGUUUUUGCUUUAGCCAAUUUUUUUAUUUUUUUUUAGGGUUUCUUGAAAAUGGAGAAAUUUUCCUAAAAAUUAUGUUGCAAACGUAGGGGAAUUAAUGCAAGUCUAAAUAGCCCAACAAAGCCCACGUUUACCUGUCUAUCUUGUGGAUAAAUUUUACUCAUCUGCUUUAAGGUUUCAAUUAAAUACACUUAACCAUUAUAAGUUUGAAAUUUCGUCAAAUACUUCUCUUAUUAUAAAUCAAAUGAAAGAUAUGUGAAAAUAACUAAUAAAAUGAGUAAAAUUGGUAUUUGACAAAAUUUCAAACUUAUAGUGUCUAGGUAUAUAUGACUUAAAUAUCAAGGAAUGUAAGUAAAAUUAAUUCUUUAUCUUGGAUUGGAUUAACCCAAAAGUAACCUAAUUUUGAUGGUUUGGGGCUGAACUUCAAAUAUGAGCUCAUUCCAUAUUGCAAGUAAUUUUUUUAAUAUUUUUUUAUUUUUAGGAAAAAUUAUAUAUCAUGUUAUUGAAUAAAGGGUGAAAGACUCCAAAGAAAAAAAUAACUUUCUAAAAAAUAAAUAUUAAAUAAAAAAAUAGUAAAUGCUAAGAUGUAAAUUAACAACAAAUAAAUGACCGUUUUAUUGAUGAUUAACAAUAAGAGAACAUCAUAUCAAUUAUAAUGAUCAAUAGUAUUGUGUGUUGGGUUACAUUCAAAUAACAAUUAGUUUUAUCCUAUGAUAAGCAAUUGUUAUAUAUAUAUAUAUAUAUAUAUAUAUAUAUAUAUAUAUAUAUAUUGUUAUAAAAAUUAGGCUAAUCCAAUUUAAGGUAAUCACCCUAUAGGAAAGGUGAAUAAGGUGAUGGUCUUUUUUUACAAAUUUAAAUUAUAUGAAUGCAAGAAACAAUUAUAUGCAAAUAUAUAUAAUAAAACAAUAUGAAAACAAUUGCAUAUAAAAUAAAAGAGUAGAGAAGAGAGAAUGCAAAUACAAGAUUUAUAUAGUGAUUCAGCGCAACCCGGCCUACGUCCAUUAUCCUCUAACUUCAAUCCCAAGUUUGAGGUUUUACUAAUUCAAGACUUCCAAUCCAAGCCUUCAAGUAAUACAAUUGAAUUAUAGUUCCAAUCAACUCUCUUAGACUUUUAGCUCCAAACACCCUUUACAAUCUCCAAUAGAUACCUCACUCUUGAACAACCCCUCAAGUAAUACUCCACACUUAAGACUUCCUAAGUGAUACCUCACACUUAGACUUUUCUUCUCAAAGAUUUAUAAAUAAAGAUAGAAAAUAUUCUCACAAAAUCCUAAUACAAAACUUUAGGCUUAAAUGAUACAACAAAAUUAUGAGUGAAUUAUGCACUAAAGAUAUGCAAGUUUUAGAACAAUGGUACACUAAAAAAAACUCUCCCAAUGCUCAAAUAUAUUCAAAAAAUGUUUAGGAAGGUUAAGGCCAUGAAACAAUAAAGAUUAGAGCAUUUUUAUAAAGAAAAAAAUGUCAAACUAGCUAUUGGAGGUUCGACCAGUCUAAUUGGAGGUUGAUCGGUUGACUAACCGUUAGCAUUUAAUACUUGAUAGGUAACCAUUGAACCUCGACUGCCCCUUAACCGGACCUCAACCGAUUAAGGUUCAACCUUGACUGAUUGAACAAUUGUUCUGGAAUAGAAAGAAGGUUUUUGCAUCAUUUGACCUAUUGAGCUAAACAGGUCAACCGGUUCCUCAUCCGGUUCAAACGGUUGAGUCAUUUUUAGCUCAACAAUUAUCAUUUUCAAUUUAAAACUUUUUAAACAAGUUUGAAAAACAUUUGACACAAGGUUUUAGUUGAAAACAUGAAACCAUCCAAUUUUAAAUGAUUUAAAACAAAAUUAUUUUUGGAUGAUUUUGGUGUAUAAAUUAAUAAUGUAAUGCAUGAAAAACCUAGUGCACCAACAACCUUACAAAGAGAUCCUAUAAAGCUUAGGUUUUGAAAAGAAUUUCUCUUUGAGGUCGUAUUCUUCUUAUUGAUUUCUCUUUGACUUGAUUUUGUCUUUGUGAUUGUCACUUUGAAAAUCUACUUGUCUAAUCACACUUGAAACAUAAUCAUUAGUUUCAAACCUUGUUUUGUUAUCAUUAAAAUCGAGAUUAAUCAAACUUUGGUUUCACACAUACACAUACACACACAUAUAUAUAUAUAUACACACACACACAAAUAAGUGUGUGAUAAGAAACCAACAACCCUAGCUCUCAUUCAAUACUCAAGUGCAAUAGGGAGACACAUCUCAUUUUUCAAUCACUUUACCAACUUUGUCUCCUCCAACUUCUAUAUCAAUAUCUUGCAUCACAAUCCUUGUCACACCCUAACUAAAAGCGUGACAGUCAUUUCACAUCUCAAGUCCAGAAACUCAAAGUAAAAAUGACAAUAAUAUCCAUUUUAUAACUAGAAGUUACCAAUUACUAAAUUUUUGUUCAAAAUAAUAGAAUAAAUUUUAUAAUCUUUAAAUCUCAAUUUUAAAACUAACACAUCAAUCAAAGUGCUAUUGUUCAAACUUAACAAUUUAAACAGUCAUUAAAUUCCAACUUUUGAAUAAUAUCCAAAAAAUAAAGUUUAAAUCAAAAGUCUUAAUAAUGGUCAAAAUCUCAUCCUAACCGUCAUUUCUCAUUUGAACUGAGAAUACCUAAAAAAUUGUCAACAAAAGUGAAUGAGCCCAAAACCCAAUAAGGAAUAUUAUUACAAUUUCAUGGAUCAAACAUUUUCAACUAUGAUUUCAAAUAAGAGAUAUAAUAUACAAUUUUUUUCAUAAAAACUUUUGAGUCCAAACAUGCUAAUACAUUCCAAACUUUUGAACCAAACAUUUUUAUAUCUAUGUUAAAACAAUUUCAUAUCAUUUACAUUCAAAAUAUUUUUACUUUGAUUAUCAAAUAACAAAUAUUGCCCAAUAAGGUAGGACUUUACAAAUUGGUAGCUAGCAUCAAAUUAGUUCAUUUUAAUGUGGACGAAACCAAAUACUACUAGUACUAAUAACGUCUAACCAAACCCCUAAAGGUUAGGGUUCAAAUAAAUUAUAUUACUCAUCACAAAAUGUAAAGGUCAACUAUCAUAUUCUGUUGACAAAUGUCAAAAAGUCAACUAUUAUAUCUCGUUAACUAUGGUCGAAAAGUCAACUAUGAUAUCUCAUUAACUAGGGUCAAAUAAAUUAAAGUCAAAUACUUUGUUUGAUUUAUUCAAACUUAAAAAAAACAAAAUAUCUUCAUAUUUUUCCAUUAUAAACAAAAUUAAACAGUUCUAACAUAUUAUUCAUAUAAAAUAUAUUUAAUUCAUGUAUAGAAACAAAAAUAACAUUUUACACAUUUUAAAAUAAUAUAUAAAAAGAAAAUUAUUUUCUUUUACAAAAUUUACAUUAAUUUCCUUUAUUUUGAACAAGCACUCAAAAUAUUAAAGAAAAUUAUUCCAGAACAAUCAAUUUCUCAACUAACAUAACAUAAGAAAAUUACUAUUAUUAUUAACUAUUUAUCUAAAAUUAUAUGUUUGACAACUCUAAAAGUUUCCUAUGUUGAUAUUAUUAUCACAUAUAUUAUUUUUAACUUCCUAAUCAAUGACAAUUUAAUAAGUGAGUUUUCAAAUUUUCAUAAAAAUUGUGUCAUUUUUAAAAAUCUAAUCUCAAAAAUCCAUUUCUCUUUCCUUAUUUAUUUAAAUUAAAUGUCUAAAGCAUAUGUAUUUAUAAUAAACCUUUUUAUCAUUUUAAUCAAGAAUAGGUUUUUUUUGUUCAUUACUUGUCUUUCAUAUUCUAUUGCCUUGUGUCUAUUAUUAUUAUUUUCGACAAACAAUACACAAAUCAUGCAAUCAACCUCAAUUUUUUUUUUCUCCUUCUCUAUACACCCGCACCAUCCUAUUACCACAAAUAGGUUUCCCAAACACCACCUCUAUUUCUUCUCUUUUAUUAUUAUUAAUAUUAUUUUCUUCUCUUCACAAAGUCAACAUCCAAACCAUUCCGUGGCUUUUUUUUUUUUUUUUUGUCUUGUUUUUUUUUCCUCUCCCGUUUAGCCGUGACACUCUCCAACCAUUCUUUUUUUUCUUCUAUUAUUUUUAUUAUUAUAAUUUUUUUUUUUUUUUAUCCUUUUACUCAUCAGAAAGCCGUGCCCUCACUCACAUCCUUCUUCCCUUUCCAUUUUUAUUUUGAUUUGUUUUUAUUUUUUUACACAUCCUACAAUUCGUGGCGUAGCACGUUUUCUUUUUUUUUUAAAAAAAAAUUUUCCUAAGUCAAAAUUUUUUUCAUGAUCAUACACUUUUCCUAUAAUUAUUCCUUCUUAUUUACUUAUUUAUUUUGAUUUUUACUUGUUUAUAUCUAACCAUUUCAAAAUUUGGAUUUUCUCUAUUUUCAUAAAUAAAUCAACUUAUAUUUAUAAAUUUUCAAACUUUUUUUAUCUAAAAUUAAACAAGCAAACUCUUAUUUAGAUUUUUCAAAGAAUAUCAAAGAUGUUUAAAUUUAAUUAACGAAUUUAAAAUACUAAUCUAAGCUUUAGAAUCUUAUCUGGAAAACUAAUCUUCAAAUCUUUAAUCCUACAUUAUCCUAAGUUUUCUAAAUUUUGUAAUCAUCGUGUAAAAAUGUUUUUGAAUAAAAAACAUUAGAAAAUUUUAUUUUAUACGUAGAGUUUUUAAAUGCAAAAAGAUAUUUUUAUCCUUAUUACAUUUAUUAAAUUUAUUUGUUAUUUUUCUUUUAUUCUAAUUUAUGAUUUUACCCUUAACAAUAUAUUUGGGGCAUUACAAUCCCUUGACAUGGAAACUUAUCGCUGCAAUAAAGCUUUAUGGCCUCAUUUGAAGAAUUUGUUCUUUUAAUGUUCGAGUACAACACAUGUUGCACUUGAACCGCCCAGCUCUACAUCAUUUGUAUUAGGGAAAUCAUGAACAACAAAUUGAAGGUUAAUGAUAUUGGUUUUGUUUGUCAAGAUAUGGGUUGAACUUUUGAGUUUCCAUACCUAUGAUUUGUGUUCAAUUGGUUUCCAUAGUUUUGUGAUGAAAACAAUAUUUAUAUGGGCAUUCGCGUUUUAUUUUAUUUUUGGGUUAUUUUAAUUUUCAAUCCCAAUCCAUUUUUAUGUGAUAAUGGCGUGGUUUGCAGAUAUGACAUNNNNNNNNNNNNNNNNNNNNNNNNNNNNNNNNNNNNNNNNNNNNNNNNNNNNNNNNNNNNNNNNNNNNNNNNNNNNNNNNNNNNNNNNNNNNNNNNNNNNAUAAGUGUGUGAUCAGAACCAAUAACCCUAGCUUCCACGCAAUUCUCAAGUGCAACUUGGAGACACAUCUCCUUUUUCAGUCACUUUGGCAUCGUUGCACACAGCUGUGGCUGCUUUUCCUCCUCCAGUUUCUAUAUCAAUGUCUUGCAGCACAAUCCCCUGACAUGGAAACUUGCUGCUACAAUCAAGUUGUAUAGCCUCACUUGAAGAACUUGUUCCUUUGAUGUUCUGGUACAACACAUUUUGCACUUGAACCGCCUGGCUCUGCAACAAAACCAUUUGUAUUAGGGAAAUCAUGAACAAUUAAUUGAGGGUUGAUGAUAUUGGUUUUGUUUGUGAAGAUCCAGGGUUGAGGUUUGAGUUUCCAUACCUCUGAUUCGCAUGGUUUGUCGUCGUCACAGUACUUUUGGUUUAUUAUUAUAGGGUUGUCCACAUCAUGCAUUUCAAUGUUCUGGAAUUUGAUGUUGCUUGCGCUUCCAGACCCUCCCUGCAACAAAAUUCUUGUGUUAAUAUUUGACUGAUCGAAAGCUUAAGUUAUUAAGUAAUAAAUGUAAUAAGUCAAUAACGCAUAUUAAAUUAACUUAUACUAAAGCUUCUUCAUAAUAUCCGACUCAUACAAACAUAUGUAUGCAUGUUUCUUCUUACCUGCCAUGUCUUGAUUCUAACUCCAUUUGUGGUUCCCGAAAGGGUUGCCCCGUUCACUGUAAUAUCUGAAACGUGAGCCUCUGAGUUUCCAGAUCCUAAGCUUCCAAUACUGAGGAGUUGGCCAUGGAACAAAGACAAAAUUCAAAAGAAAUACGUAUAUGUUAGUGUUGAUUAAUGAGUCAUAUAUAGAAAUUAAGAUUAAUUUAGCAAUAUUAAUGUUGGGGUUACUGGGUUAAUUACCUGAUUCCAUGGCCUGGUCCACAGGUGAUACCAGUGGCUUGCAAGUUCUGGGUUCCACUCACAAUUGAAAUACAGUCGUCACCUUCAACAAUCAAACAAAAUUUGUCAUUGAUUCAGCAUGGUUACAACUAUUUUUAAAAAAAAUAUUUUUAGUUUUGUUUUUAGGCAAAUUUUGAGGAUACCUGUUCCUAUAACUGAGCUUGAAAUCUGGAUAUUUUGGGUGUCAGUCACAUGGAUUCCAUCAGUGUUGGGGCUGUCCCCUGGUGCAGUUACAGUGAGACCCGAAGCUUGAACACCCACGCAUUUUUCAAAAGAAACAUGCAUUUGCUGGGCAUUUUGGAUCUUGAGGUUCUUCACUACCAAGUUCUUGCAGUUAUAGAAGGUUAAGGCCUGCCAAAACAUAAUUCCAAACAAGAAAUUAUAUGUCUUCCAUUUUCAUAUAAACAUCAUAGAAGAAGUUUGCACUCAUAUGAGAGGAUGUAUCAACGUACCGUUGGUGCAUCCUUGCAAGGCUGCGGGAAUUUAAAGGGAAAAAAAAAAUUCAGCCAAUGAUCAUUAAAAGAUAAUCAAAAGAAAAAAAAAAGGGAAAAAGAGACAGAGACAGAGAGUCAUGAGUGGCAUAAUUACAAGAUCAUCGUUCACUUUGCAAGAGUUCUCCCACCAUGUCUUCCCAUUUCCAUUGAUGGUUCCACCACCUUGAACCGCUAAGUUUUGGACAUUUUCAAAGACAAGCCACCGGGUCAUAUCGUUACUGUAGGCGGAUCGAUCAGCAGAUGCCUGGACAGUUCCAUAUAUCUGGUUUUUUUUUUCCCCCAAAAAUAUCAUUAGUCAUUUUAUACGAUAUACAUUAAUUAGAAGCAGCUGCUUGAAGGUCUGAAGAAAAUGACUCCUGUGAUGGAAUCUCACCUGCACUGUAAUACUGGAUUUGCAAGGACCUUCAAAUGUAAUUGGCUUAAGGAGAUAGUUCUUGUUUUUGGGCACCACUAGGACAGAUCCUUGAGAUGAACAAGCUGCCUCCCAAGCUUUCUUGAAUGCCUGAAAGACCCAACAUUGGUUAUAUAUAUAUUACUUCGCAUGACAGAACCAAUGAAAAUAAGACUGAAUCCAACAAGCCCUAAUAAUUUUAAUAUGUUUGACUCAUAGCAUAGUUUGUCUUCAUUGGAUGUGAAGUUCUUCAAUAGUAAUUAGCCAUCAUUUUCAUUUAGAUCAAUGAUAUAAAUAGUAAUUACCCAAUCCGCUUCUAGUAUACAAUGACAUACUAUAACUUAUUGUGAUCAAUAUAUCAAAAUGCAAGCUCAGAUCAAACUAUAUAGAACAAUAAUGCAGAGAUCAUGGAAAUGAGGACAUUCUUAUAAGGUUAAUAAGUCAAUACACAUAUUGACGUCUCUAGCUAUAUCCAUACCUCUGUGGCAUCACUUCCAUCACCUUUAGCUUCAUAAUCAUUCACGCUAACCGUUUUAACUGAAGCCAAAGAUCUACCCACUUUACAAAUCCUCUUAGAGCCCAUGAUUUUACUUCCAAAUUUGCGCCAUGGCCAGCUCUCAUACGCCCGGGAAGAAUCAUAGCCAUAUGCGUCGUCAAGAUAAUCGUAAGGUGGGUUCCCUUGCAAACCGUAGUAGCAUGGGAAAGAAAGCAGAAAGACGAUGAGAAACGGGAUGAAGCGUCUUUGUAGAGACAUUGUUUCUUCUUUGGUAAAGGGGAGAGAAAAUAUUCUGAAAGAUAUUAUUUUGAGGCUAAGAUUGGAAUGAUGAUGAGAGGAAUGGAGGUGAUGAAAAUAUGAAGUGCUGAGGUAAUGUAUUUAUAGAGAAUCAUCAGGGGUUUUGGGUCUACCGUCCAUCACACAAUGCCCCUUGAGGUAUGGAUUGGGAAUCAUUUGGGAUACGCAAGAGUACUGCUACCAGAAUGAACUCCUGGACACCAUGGCUGACUUUGAUGCAUUCAUGCAUCAGUCCAUAUUUAUUUUUUAUUAAUAUCUAAUCUGUAUAGCAUGUCGUGCAUAUUUGCGGUUAUACAUUUUGAAUAAAUUCAACUACAUAAAUUUUGCAACUUAUAAUGAGAAAAACUCAUUAACACUUAGAUCAACGAGCCUCAUCACGUAAAGAAGGCAAAUAUUGAGGGCCACUUUUUCAUAUACAUGUACAUGUAACAUGCAUAUAUGCAUCAUCUAGCCUAUUUUGUACGUCCAUUAAUUAUCAUCAGAUUAUUCCAAAUGAUUAUCCUAGAUUAUGGCAGCUGGCUAAAAUAGGUCACAUAAAAAUUGGUAUUUAUCCUUUGACUCUAUAUAUCGAAUGAUGCACACAUGAAAGAUAUGUAAAUGCACCAAACGAUCCAAACAUAUGAUCAUGAUGUCACAGAGAUGAAGUAUGGCAAGCUAGUGACCUCCCCUUUCCUUCACAUGUUGCCAAAUUCCACACUUGACACAACCCGAUUCGCCCGGAAACAAUCUGCCCCGCACUUUCAGAAGCGUGUGGGGGUUUUCAUGGAAUUCAUGCAUAAAAAAUAUUGAGUUGCCGUAAUCUAUUUUGAGGGAUAAAAAGGGUGGGCAUGGGAUUUGAGUAGAGGUGUUUGUUGAGUUCCUACGUGGUAAUCUCUCUUCCUUAAUGAAUAUAAGACGUUAGAGCACUUCACAUGCUGAUGGAAUUUGAACCUUUUCACAAGAUGGCAUUGUCUCAUGAUUCCCAAAAUUAACAAGCAAUCAAACUGAGAAAAACUUGAGCUUUAGGCUUGUAAUAUGGUGUCGCCACGUGUACACCCCGUGACAAAUCAUAGAUCACGUUCUGCCAACCAUUUGCCAGUUCGUUGAUACAUAAUAGUAGAGAGGCGUGGUUUGAAAAAUGGGGGUUGGAUUACACAUGCAAGGUGGUAUGGGCUGAAGAAUAUGAGUUCAUUAGAUAACAGCUUAUCAUGUAUUUUGACAACCCAGUUUGAAAAAGGCCAUCAAUCAUCAUCAAUCAUUAUGGGCUCGUGUAUCUUUUUUUAAUGGGUAAUGCGUUAGCUAGGAUUAUGAAAUGGGAAGUCGACCUCAUAGAAGGGUUAGCGCAGUUGUAAAGAAGUUUGAGCCAACUGUUUUGGAAAGUUGCUUUCAAUGGAAGGUACACAGGAACUUUAUACCAAAUUCCAUCAAAUGGCUGAUUCAGAAUGGAAGAGUGGAAACUUGAAUCAAAGGGUGUAAUAUUAAUUAGAUCAUUUUCUUCAAACCAAGCAAAAAGUUCGGCCAAGCACAUGAGCCUAACCGUUGCCAAUUUCAACACUGCAAGUUAAUUUGUGACUACUCCAUUUCAGCUCUUUCCUUCUUUUUGCUUUUUUCUCAUUUUGUUCACUUUGGUGUAAAACGCAUUUUUUAUUUUAUUUUAUUCAUUUGGGUGUGAAGCUGAGAAAAAAUAGAGUAAGAUGAUGGAGUUGCCUGCUUGAAACGAUUAUAAUAUAAUAUUAUUGUUUAAGAUUACGUAUGAUUCUCGAAAAGUAUUAAGAGAAGAAUAAAAUUAUUAAAAAAAAAUACGUUAGCUAAGAUUAUUAAAUGGGAAGUCGACCUCAUAGAAAGGUUAGCGCAGUUGUAAAGAAGUUUGAGCCAACUGUUUGGAAAGGGCCUCAUUUGAAGAAUUUGUUCUUUUAAUGUUCGAGUACAACACAUGUUGCACUUGAACCGCCCAGCUCUACAUCAUUUGUAUUAGGGAAAUCAUGAACAACAAAUUGAAGGUUAAUGAUAUUGGUUUUGUUUGUCAAGAUAUGGGUUGAACUUUUGAGUUUCCAUACCUAUGAUUUGUGUUCAAUUGGUUUCCAUAGUUUUGUGAUGAAAACAAUAUUUAUAUGGGCAUUCGCGUUUUAUUUUAUUUUUGGGUUAUUUUAAUUUUCAAUCCCAAUCCAUUUUUAUGUGAUAAUGGCGUGGUUUGCUGAUAUGACAUUAGACGACUCAGCGUGAAGUUGGGCCUUGAAGCCCGAUUAUCUAGUGGGUGGGCCUUGAAGCCCAAAAGUAACCUAGUUCUAAUGGCCUUUGGGGCUGAACUUCGGAUAUGGGCCAAUUUCAUGUUGCAUGCAUUUUUUAAAAAUAAAUAUAUUUUUAUUAUUUUGAGGAAAUACUAGAUAGCAUGGUAUUGAAUCAAGGGAGAAAAACUCUAAAUUUUCAGAAAAAUGAAAAGAAUUAGUAAAUACUAAGAUGAAAUUAACAACAAAUAAAAGGUCAUUUUAUUGAUGAUAAACAAUAAGAGAACAUCAACUCCAUUGUCUUAUUCUAUAGUAAGCAAAUUAAUAUCACAUACUCACUAUUACUUUUAAAUAAUUAGUAUAUAUCUAUAAACACUGAUAAGUGUGUGAUCAGAACCAAUAACCCUAGCUUCCACGCAAUUCUCAAGUGCAACUUGGAGACACAUCUCCUUUUUCAGUCACUUUGGCAUCGUUGCACACAGCUGUGGCUGCUUUUCCUCCUCCAGUUUCUAUAUCAAUGUCUUGCAGCACAAUCCCCUGACAUGGAAACUUGCUGCUACAAUCAAGUUGUAUAGCCUCACUUGAAGAACUUGUUCCUUUGAUGUUCUGGUACAACACAUUUUGCACUUGAACCGCCUGGCUCUGCAACAAAACCAUUUGUAUUAGGGAAAUCAUGAACAAUUAAUUGAGGGUUGAUGAUAUUGGUUUUGUUUGUGAAGAUCCAGGGUUGAGGUUUGAGUUUCCAUACCUCUGAUUCGCAUGGUUUGUCGUCGUCACAGUACUUUUGGUUUAUUAUUAUAGGGUUGUCCACAUCAUGCAUUUCAAUGUUCUGGAAUUUGAUGUUGCUUGCGCUCCCAGACCCUCCCUGCAACAAAAUACUUGAGUUAAUAACCGACACAUCGAAAACUUAAAUUAUUAAGUAAUGAAUGUAAUAAGUCAAUAAUGCAUAUUAAAUUAACUUAUACUAAAGCUUUUUCGUAAUAUCCGACUCAUACAAACAUAUGCAUGCAUGUUUCUUCUUACCGGCCAUGUCUUGAUUCUAACUCCAUUUGUGGUUCCCGAAAGAGUUGCCCCGUUCACUGUAAUAUCUGAAACCAGAGCCUCUGAGUUUCCAUAUCCUAAGCUUCCAAUACUGAGGAGUCGGCCAUGGAACAAAGACAAAAUUCGAAAGAAAUGCAUAUAUGUUAGUGUUAAUUAAUGAGUCAUAUAUAGAAAUUAAGAUUAAUUUAGCAAUAUUAAUGUUGGGGUUAAUGGAUUAAUUACCUGAUUCCAUGGCCUGGUCCACAGGUGAUACCAGUGGCUUGCAAGUUCUGGGUUCCACUCACAAUUGAAAUACAGUCGUCACCUUCAACAAUCAAACAAAAUUUGUCAUUGAUUCAGCAUGGUUACAACUAUUUUAAAAAUAAAAAAAUUUAGUUUUGUUUUUAGGCAAAUUUUGAGGAUACCUGUUCCUAUAACUGAGCUUGAAAUCUGGAUAUUUUGGGUGUCAGUCACAUGGAUUCCAUCAGUGUUGGGGCUGUCCCCUGGUGCAGUUACAGUGAGACCCGAAGCUUGAACACCCACGCAUUUUUCAAACGAAACAUGAAUUUGCUGGGCAUUUUCGAUCUUGAGGUUCUUCACUACCAAGUUCUUGCAGUUAUAGAAGGUUAAGGCCUGCCAAAAUUAAAACAUAAUUCCAAACAAGAAAUUAUACAUCUUCCAUUUUCAUAUAACAUCCUAGAAGAAGACGACUGCACUCAUAUGAGGGGAUAUAUAUCAACAUACCGUUGGUGCAUCCUUGCAAGACUGCAAAAAUCAAUGGAAUUUAAAUAAACAAAUAAAUAAAAUCAGCCAAUGAUCAUUAAAAGAUAAUCGAAAAGAAAAAAGAGAGAGAGAGUUAUGAGUGGCAUAAUUACAAGAUCAUCGUCCACUUUGCAAGAGUUUUCCCACCAUAUCUUCCCAUUUCCAUUGAUGGUUCCACCACCUUGAACCGCUAAGUUUUGGACAUUUUCAAAGACAAGCCAGCGGGUCAAAUCGUUACUGUAGGCGGAUCGAUCAGUAGAUGCCUGGAGAGUUCCAUAUAUCUGGUUUUUUUUUAAAAAAAAAUAUCAUUAGUCAUUUUAUGCAAUAUACAUCAAUUAGAAACAGCUCCUUGAAGGUCUGAAGAAAAUGAAUCCUUUCAUGGAAUCUCACCUGCACUGUAAUACUGGAUUUGCAAGGACCUUCAAAUGUAAUUGGCUUAAGGAGAUAGUUGUUUUUGGGCACCACUAGGACAGAUCCUUGAGAUGAACAAGCUGCCUCCCAAGCUUUCUUGAAUGCCUGAAAGACCCAACAUUGGUUAUAUAUAUUACUUCGCAUGACAGAACCAAUGAAAAUAAGACUGAAUCCAACAAGCCCUAAUAAUUUUAAUAUGUUUGAUUCAUAGCAUAGUUUGUCUUCAUUGGAUGUGAAGGUCUUCAAUAGUAAUUAGCCAUCAUUUUCAUUUAGAUCAAUGAUAUAAAUAAUAAUUAGCCAAUCCGCUUCGAGUAUACAACUGCAUGCUAUAACUUCAAUCCUUUUGAAAAUGUAUGAAUUCUAAACUUAUUGUGAUCAAUAUAUCAAAAUGCAAGCUCCGAUCAAACUAUAUAGAACAAUAAUGCAAAAACGAGGACAUGCUUAUAAGUUUAAUAAGUCAAUACACAUAUUGAAGUCUAGCUAUAUGCAUACCUCUGUGGCAUCACUUCCAUCACCUUUAGCCCCAUAAUCAUUCACGUUAACCGUUGUAACUGAAGCCAAAGAUCUACCCACUUCACCAAUCCUCUUGGAGCCCAUGAUUUUACUUCCAAAUUUGCGCCAUGGCCGCUUGUCAUACGCCUGGGAAGAAGCAUAGCCAUAUGCGUCGUCAAGAUAAUCGUAAGGUGGGUUCCCUUGCAAACCGUAGUAGCAUGGGAAAGAAAGCAGAAAGACGAUGAGAAAUGGGAUGAAGCGUCUUUGUAGAGACAUUGUUUCUUCUUUUGUAAAGGGGAGAGAAAAUAUUCUGAAAGAUACUAUAUUGAGACUAAGAUUGGAAUGGUGAUGAGAGGUAUGAAGUACCGAGGUUAUGUAUUUAUAGAGAAUCAUCAGGGGUUUUGGAUCCACUGUCCAUGACACAAUGCA
rnacentral:lncRNA from 1 species